rnacentral:rRNA from 1 species
AAUAUUUGACAAUGGGCGAAAGGCUGAUCCAGCCAUGCCGCGUGUGUGAUGAAGGNCUNNGGCUUNUNAAGCACUUUAAGCUGNNNNNAGAGGCAGUAUGUUAAUACCUUGCUGGUUUGACGUUACCGUCAGAAUACGCACCGGAUAACUUCGCGCCAUCAGCCGCGGUAAUACGACGGGUGCCAGCUUUAAUCGGAAUUACUGUGCGUAAUGCGCUCGUAGGUGGUUUAUUAAGUUGGAAGGUAAAGCCCCGGGCUCAACCUGGGAACUGCUGUCAAAACUGGCAAGCUAGAGUAUGGCAGAGGGUGGUAGAAUUACCUGUGUAGCGGUGAAAUGCGUAGAUAUAGGAAGGAACACCAGUGGCGAAGGCGACCACCUGGGCUAAUACUGACACUGAGGUGCGAAAGCGUGGGGAGCAAAC